rnacentral:rRNA from 1 species
GCUCAGGAUGAACGCUAGCUACAGGCUUAACACAUGCAAGUCGAGGGGUAGCAGGGUAGCAAUACCGCUGACGACCGGCGCACGGGUGAGUAACACGUAUCCAACCUUCCCAUAACUCAGGGAUAGCCUUUCGAAAGAAAGAUUAAUACCUGAUAGUACUUAAGAAAGGCAUCUUUUUUAAGUUAAAGAUUUAUUGGUUAUGGAUGGGGAUGCGUUCCAUUAGAUAGUUGGUGAGGUAACGGCUCACCAAGUCUUCGAUGGAUAGGGGUUCUGAGAGGAAGGUCCCCCACAUUGGCACUGAGACACGGACCAAACUCCUACGGGAGGCAGCAGUGAGGAAUAUUGGUCAAUGGGCGAGAGCCUGAACCAGCCAAGUAGC